rnacentral:misc_RNA from 1 species
GGAAGAACGCAGCGAAAUGCGAUACGUAAUGUGAAUUGCAGAAUUCAGUGAAUCAUCGAAUCUUUGAACGCAUAUUGCGCUCUCUGGUAUUCCGGAGAGCAUGCUUGUUUGAGUAUCAGUAAACACCUCAACUUCCAUAUCUUUUUUGAAAUGGGAGUUGGACUUGAGUGAUCCCAACGCUUUUCCUCACCGAAAAGUGGCGGGUUACUUGAAAUGCAGGUGCAGCUGGACUUUUCUCUGAGCUAUAAGCAUAUCUAUUUAGUCUGCCUAAAAAACAGAUUAUUACCUUUGCUGCAGCUAACAUAAAGGAGAUUAGUUCUUGUGCUGACUGAUGCAGGAUUCACAAAGACAGGCUUCGGCCGACUUUGUAAACUCGAUCUCAAAUCAAGUAAGACUACCCGCUGAACUUAAGCAUAUCAAUAAGCGGAGGA